GACGAACGCUGGCGGCGUGCUUAACACAUGCAAGUCGAACGGAAAGGCCCCUUUGGGGGUACUCGAGUGGCGAACGGGUGAGUAACACGUGAGUAACCUGCCCUUGACUUCGGGAUAACUUCAGGAAACUGGGGCUAAUACCGGAUAGGAAUCCUUGCUGCAUGGUGGGGGUUGGAAAGCUUCGGCGGUUUUGGAUGGACUCGCGGCUUAUCAGCUUGUUGGUGGGGUAGUGGCUUACCAAGGCUUUGACGGGUAGCCGGCCUGAGAGGGCGACCGGCCACAUUGGGACUGAGAGACGGCCCAGACUCCUACGGGAGGCAGCAGUGGGGAAUAUUGCACAAUGGGCGGAAGCCUGAUGCAGCAACGCCGCGUGCGGGAUGACGGCCUUCGGGUUGUAAACCGCUUUCGGCAGGGGCGAAGCUUGUGGUGACGGUACCUGCAGAAGAAGCACCGGCUAACUACGUG
rnacentral:rRNA from 1 species